GCAGUGCUAGAUAUCAUAAAGGCACCAGAUCCCAUCUGAUUUUAGAAGCUAAGCAGGGUCGGCCUUGGUUAGUACUUGGAUGGGAGACCUGCAAAGUAUACUAGGCAAUAUUACA
rnacentral:rRNA from 1 species